AUGUCGUCGCCGUCGUACUCGUCGUACCUCGGGAGGCCGGCCUACUGCGCCAUGGCCCUCGUCCUCCUCCUCACCCUGCUCUGCAUCACCUUCCCCGCCUACCUGCGCAACCCGGUCAGCGUCGCCAGCUGCUUCACGGGAGCCGACGUCCGUGCCGCCGCCGCCCAACCAGCGGCGUCAGCGUCGGCGGCGUUGGUGGCGGACGACGGGGGCCGCCGCCCGGACCAGCUCAGCAUCCUGGUCGGCGUGCACACGAUGCCCAAGAAGCACUCCCGGCGGCACCUGAUCCGGAUGGCGUACGCGGUGCAGCAGACGGCGGCCCUCCGCGGCGCCGCGCGCGUGGACGUCCGGUUCGCGCUCUGCGCGCGGCCGAUGCCGGCCGAGCACGGCGCGUUCGUGGCGCUGGAGCGCCGCGCCUACGGCGACGUGCUGCUCUUCAACUGCACCGAGAACGCCGAGGACGGCAAGACGUACACCUACUUCGCGGACCUGCCGGCCAUGCUCGGCGCCGCCGGGGGCGAGGGACGCCCGCGGCCGUACGACUACGUGAUGAAGGUGGACGACGACACGUACCUCCGGCUGGACGCGCUGGUGAAGACGCUGCGGCGGGCGCCGCGGGAGGACAUGUACUACGGCGUGGGCCUGCCGUUCAUGGACCGAAAGUCGCCGCCGUUCAUGCUUGGCAUGGGGGACGCGCUCUCCUGGGACCUCGUCCAGUGGAUCGCCACCUCCGACAUGGUCAGGAGGAAGGCCAAAGGCGUGGAGGAUGUGACCACGGGGAACUGGCUGAACGAGGGGGGCAAGGCCAAGAACAGGGUGAACAUCUUCCCCAGGAUGUACGACUACAAGAGCGCCGAGGCCAAGGAUUUCCUGGAGGACACCAUCGGCGUGCACCAGCUCAAGGAGGACAUCAGGUGGGCGCACACGCUGGCGCACUUCAACGCCACCUACGGCGACCUCCGGCCUUCCAGAGAGGGGAGCUCAUAG
rnacentral:rRNA from 1 species